AGCGUACACGGUGGAUGCCCUGGCAGUCAGAGGCGAUGAAGGGCGUGCUAAUCUGCGAUAAGCGCCGGUAAGGUGAUAUGAACCGUUAUAACCGGCGAUACCCGAAUGGGGAAACCCAGUGUGAUUCGUCACACUAUCAUUAACUGAAUCCAUAGGUUAAUGAGGCGAACCGGGGGAACUGAAACAUCUAAGUACCCCGAGGAAAAGAAAUCAACCGAGAUUCCCCCAGUAGCGGCGAGCGAACGGGGAGGAGCCCAGAGCCUGAAUCAGCAUGUGUGUUAGUGGAAGCGUCUGGAAAGGCGCGCGAUACAGGGUGACAGCCCCGUACACAAAAGCGCAUGUGCUGUGAGCUCGAUGAGUAGGGCGGGACACGUGGUAUCCUGUCUGAAUAUGGGGGGACCAUCCUCCAAGGCUAAAUACUCCUGACUGACCGAUAGUGAACCAGUACCGUGAGGGAAAGGCGAAAAGAACCCCGGCGAGGGGAGUGAAAAAGAACCUGAAACCGUGUACGUACAAGCAGUGGGAGCACCCUUUGGGUGUGACUGCGUACCUUUUGUAUAAUGGGUCAGCGACUUAUAUUCUGUAGCAAGGUUAACCGAAUAGGGGAGCCGGAGGGAAACCGAGUCUUAACCGGGCGUUAAGUUGCAGGGUAUAGACCCGAAACCCGGUGAUCUAGCCAUGGGCAGGUUGAAGGUUGGGUAACACUAACUGGAGGACCGAACCGACUAAUGUUGAAAAAUUAGCGGAUGACCUGUGGCUGGGGGUGAAAGGCCAAUCAAACCGGGAGAUAGCUGGUUCUCCCCGAAAGCUAUUUAGGUAGCGCCUCGUGAAUUCAUCUCCGGGGGUAGAGCACUGUUUCGGCUAGGGGGCCAUCCCGGCUUACCAACCCGAUGCAAACUGCGAAUACCGGAGAAUGUUAUCACGGGAGACACACGGCGGGUGCUAACGUCCGUCGUGAAGAGGGAAACAACCCAGACCGCCAGCUAAGGUCCCAAAGUCAUGGUUAAGUGGGAAACGAUGUGGGAAGGCCCAGACAGCCAGGAUGUUGGCUUAGAAGCAGCCAUCAUUUAAAGAAAGCGUAAUAGCUCACUGGUCGAGUCGGCCUGCGCGGAAGAUGUAACGGGGCUAAACCAUGCACCGAAGCUGCGGCAGCGACACUGUGUGUUGUUGGGUAGGGGAGCGUUCUGUAAGCCUGUGAAGGUGUGUCGUGAGGCAUGCUGGAGGUAUCAGAAGUGCGAAUGCUGACAUAAGUAACGAUAAAGCGGGUGAAAAGCCCGCUCGCCGGAAGACCAAGGGUUCCUGUCCAACGUUAAUCGGGGCAGGGUGAGUCGACCCCUAAGGCGAGGCCGAAAGGCGUAGUCGAUGGGAAACGGGUUAAUAUUCCCGUACUUGGUGUUACUGCGAAGGGGGGACGGAGAAGGCUAUGUUGGCCGGGCGACGGUUGUCCCGGUUUAAGCGUGUAGGUGUGUGUUCCAGGUAAAUCCGGUUCACUUUAACACUGAGGCGUGACGACGAGGCACUACGGUGCUGAAGCAACAAAUGCCCUGCUUCCAGGAAAAGCCUCUAAGCAUCAGGUAACAUCAAAUCGUACCCCAAACCGACACAGGUGGUCAGGUAGAGAAUACCAAGGCGCUUGAGAGAACUCGGGUGAAGGAACUAGGCAAAAUGGUGCCGUAACUUCGGGAGAAGGCACGCUGACACGUAGGUGAAGUGAUUUACUCAUGGAGCUGAAGUCAGUCGAAGAUACCAGCUGGCUGCAACUGUUUAUUAAAAACACAGCACUGUGCAAACACGAAAGUGGACGUAUACGGUGUGACGCCUGCCCGGUGCCGGAAGGUUAAUUGAUGGGGUCAGCGCAAGCGAAGCUCCUGAUCGAAGCCCCGGUAAACGGCGGCCGUAACUAUAACGGUCCUAAGGUAGCGAAAUUCCUUGUCGGGUAAGUUCCGACCUGCACGAAUGGCGUAAUGAUGGCCAGGCUGUCUCCACCCGAGACUCAGUGAAAUUGAACUCGCUGUGAAGAUGCAGUGUACCCGCGGCAAGACGGAAAGACCCCGUGAACCUUUACUAUAGCUUGACACUGAACAUUGAGCCUUGAUGUGUAGGAUAGGUGGGAGGCUUUGAAGUGUGGACGCCAGUCUGCAUGGAGCCGACCUUGAAAUACCACCCUUUAAUGUUUGAUGUUCUAACGUGGACCCGUUACCCGGGUUGCGGACAGUGUCUGGUGGGUAGUUUGACUGGGGCGGUCUCCUCCUAAAGAGUAACGGAGGAGCACGAAGGUUGGCUAAUCCUGGUCGGACAUCAGGAGGUUAGUGCAAUGGCAUAAGCCAGCUUGACUGCGAGCGUGACGGCGCGAGCAGGUGCGAAAGCAGGUCAUAGUGAUCCGGUGGUUCUGAAUGGAAGGGCCAUCGCUCAACGGAUAAAAGGUACUCCGGGGAUAACAGGCUGAUACCGCCCAAGAGUUCAUAUCGACGGCGGUGUUUGGCACCUCGAUGUCGGCUCAUCACAUCCUGGGGCUGAAGUAGGUCCCAAGGGUAUGGCUGUUCGCCAUUUAAAGUGGUACGCGAGCUGGGUUUAGAACGUCGUGAGACAGUUCGGUCCCUAUCUGCCGUGGGCGCUGGAGAACUGAGGGGGGCUGCUCCUAGUACGAGAGGACCGGAGUGGACGCAUCACUGGUGUUCGGGUUGUCAUGCCAAUGGCACUGCCCGGUAGCUAAAUGCGGAAGAGAUAAGUGCUGAAAGCAUCUAAGCACGAAACUUGCCCCGAGAUGAGUUCU
rnacentral:rRNA from 2 species